GGAGGAUGCGAGCGUUAUCCGGAUNUAUUGGGUNUAAAGGGAGCGUAGACGGGUNUUUAAGUCAGCNGUGAAAGUNUGGGGCUCAACCUUAAAAUNGCAGUNGAAACUGGAGACCUUGAGUACGGUUGAGGCAGGCGGAAUUCGUGGUGUAGCGGUGAAAUGCUUAGAUAUCACGAAGAACCCCGAUUGCGAAGGCAGCCUGCUAAGCCGCCACUGACGUUGAGGCUCGAAAGUGCGGGUAUCAAACAGGAUUAGAUACCCUGGUAGUCCGCACGGUAAACGAUGGAUACUCGCUGUUGGCGAUAGACGGUCAGCGGCCAAGCGAAAGCGUUAAGUAUCCCACCUGGGGAGU
rnacentral:rRNA from 1 species